rnacentral:rRNA from 1 species
UACGGAGGAUGCGAGCGUUAUCCGGAUUUAUUGGGUUUAAAGGGAGCGUAGGCCGGUCUUUAAGCGUGCCGUGAAAUUUUGUGGCUCAACCAUGAGAGUGCGGCGCGAACUGGAGACCUUGAGUGGGCGAGAAGUAUGCGGAAUGCGUGGUGUAGCGGUGAAAUGCAUAGAUAUCACGCAGAACUCCGAUUGCGAAGGCAGCAUACCGGCGCCCAACUGACGCUGAAGCACGAAAGCGUGGGUAUCGAACAGG